rnacentral:rRNA from 1 species
GACGAACGCUGGCGGCGUGCUUAACACAUGCAAGUCGAGCGGUAAGGCCCUCGGGUACGACGAGCGGCGAACGGGUGAGUAACACGUGGGUGACCUGCCUCUAGCUCUGGGAGUAAGACCUGGGAAACGUAGGGUCGUAAUACCGGAUAUGACUCCAUGACGCAUGUUGUGGGGUGGAAAGCCUUGUGCGGCUAGGGAUGGGCCCGCGGCCUAUCAGCUUGUUGGUGGGGUGAUGGCCUACCAAGGCGACGACGGGUAGCCGGCCUCGAGAGGGCGACCGGCCGACACUGGGACUGAGACACGGCCCAGACUCCUACGGGAGGCAGCAGUGGGGAAUCUUGCGCAAUGGGCGAAAGCCUGACGCAGCGACGCCGCGUGA